rnacentral:rRNA from 1 species
GAUGAACGCUGGCGGCGUGCCUAAUACAUGCAAGUCGAGCGAACGGACGAGAAGCUUGCUUCUCUAAUGUUAGCGGCGGACGGGUGAGUAACACGUGGAUAACCUACCUAUAAGACUGGGAUGACUUCGGGAAACCGUAGCUAAUACCGGAUAAUAUUUUGAACCGCAUGGUUCAAAAGUGAAAGACGGUCUUGCUGUCACUUAUAGAUGGAUCCGCGCUGCAUUAGCUAGUUGGUAAGGUAACGGCUUACCAAGGCAACGAUGCAUAGCCGACCUGAGAGGGUGAUCGGCCACACUGGAACUGAGACACGGUCCAGACUCCUACGGGAGGCAGCAGUAGGGAAUCUUCCGCAAUGGGCGAAAGCCUGACGGAGCAACGCCGCGUGAGUGAUGAAGGUCUUCGGAUCGUAAAACUCUGUUAUUAGGGAAGAACAUAUGUGUAAGUAACUGUGCACAUCUUGACGGUACCUAAUCAGAAAGCCACGGCUAACUACGUG